GAUCCUUUACAAAUAGCUUAUACUUUCAUGUCUUCUUUUAAGAAACGUCAUACUCCUUCUGUAGCUCAAAUGUCUUCCUUCCUAGAAUAAAUUCCCAAGGUGAUUACUAAUGAAGAUAAUUCAUCUAUGUUAGCUCCAAUUUCAAAUGAUGAGAUUUACACAGUUGUCCAUCAGAUUGGUUCUUUGAAAGCUCCUGGUCUAGAUGGUAUUUGUACAUAACAGCACACAUAUGAACCUGCCACAUAGACUUCACAUUAUCACCAAGCCACACAGGGCCACCAAGGUAGCAUGCCAGAGCCAGGGACUGAUACCAUGGAUGGUGAUGUCCACAAGGGACAACACCGAAGGCUAUAAAAAGCAAUACGGAGCCCAGUAUGGCUACCUAAAUUAUGCCUUAGCCCUACAGAUAGGGGAAUGCAUCCCACAUCGAAGAAAUGGAAAACCUCUUCCCCAACCAAGAGUAUAUAAGUUGACCCAACCACUUCCAUUAAGGUUAAUAACUACUAAUCAUUCAUUGUUGUCAAAUUACAUACAUAGCCCUGACUUUGGCAUCAGAGUGGUCGGUCUCCUUGACGUUGUUUAUUUCCUUUAACGAGAUAACGACACCACCUUACAAGCUUUCGUUGUAUCGCAUUUUGUCAGGCUACCUCUAGGAAGUUCGAGCAGAAACAUUGGUACCCUAUGUGGGAACGAGUAGCACCCACGACUCGAUACCAUGGCAGAGCAAGGUGAGAAGGAGUUAAGUGUGGUGCAACAUGUGGUCCGUGCACUUUUCUUUACAUUGGGAACAUUCGGAGGCGAGGUGACUAACGCUUCCAUUGAUACCUAGGGGUCAGGGGCAUUUGAUCCUAACGGGGGUAUGACAUUGGCGACAUGAGGUCACUGCCUCGACCUAGCUACUAAGAUGGAACUUAUGCGGGCCGACAUCUCCUCCUUCUAAGAGCAAAGUCGAAUUGACCAUGAGCAGAGUCAAGUGGACAUGGAGACAAACCUCCUCGAACAAUAGAGGUUGCAGGAAUUGGAAAAUGAGAACGCAUCGCUGGUUCGCGUACUGGACAUAAGGUAACAACAAAAUGAGGCCCUCAUGAAAGUGCUUGCUGUAACACCACAACCAAAUUUGCUAGAAGUUUCGAAUGGGGUACUUGCUGCGAUACAGAGCACAUAUGCCAUCUCCCCUCUCGCUGACACCGGAGGUAGGAGAGUCAUUCAUAUGCCUGUUGAUCUUAAUCUGAAAAGCCUCAAAGGACUGCCCCCACCACCUGUACCGAGCCUAGAGAACAGCUCUCCCCAUCGGGACCCAACCCCAACAUGGCACUUUUAGUUCAAAUGAGCCAAUCGAUUGCUACCCUACAAUCCAGAAUUGAAGCUAGCAAGAGCAGGGUUGCAUGGCGUCCCCUAAACAGAAUAUUCGAGGAUCGACCAAGACUUUUCACUCCAUAUGUCAAGAAUACGAUACGCUCCAUUGCUGUCAAAUCGCUCAAAAGUGACUACACUGGGAUCAGUGAUCCCUACCAGCAUCUGUAAUACCCCAAAAAAUUUGUUAUUAAUUUCUUGAAAUUUUCUGAAAUUAAUAAAGUGCUUGUUAGAAUGAUUUCGUUGUUCGAGGGUAGAGCAGAAAUGUUUCGGACGAAUAAUUACUCGAACCGUUUUAUUUUUGAGAAAAUGUUGACUUUUUAUUCGUUAGGUUUCUCCAAAAAUUUUCUUCACGAAAGUCGUAGUGUGCGUCAAUACGAGUUUGUGGACAUGCGGAAUGCGAAAAUUGGAGUUCAUAUGAUGAAGUUAUGGCCAACGGAAAAAGUUUCAUUUUUUGGAUAAAUAGAAAAAAUUUGGACAAAAAUCCGAAAAACCCUAGUUUCCAAAAUUGGAAACCCCUAUUCGGAUUUCUCUCUCUACCGUCGACCCGACCUGAAUUUGUUUUUCGUCCAUAUCUUCGCCGUUCGGCCUCCAAUUCGGCUGCCACCGGUCCCAAUAGCUUCACCUCUUCUUCCUUUGUCGAUCUGUGGUAGCAUCUUAGCCCAUCUCGGCCUCUACACGGUGCAGCAAGGAAGCCCCGAUCCAAACCCCAGUUUUCAGUCAAUGCCAAUAUCUUCGCUGUCUGGCCACCUCAGGACGCGCCACCGAUCAUUUCUUGAAGCCCAGAAGACGCUGAUCAUGCUCUCCAAGUGGUUUUAACCGAUUCAAAGAGUGGAGGAAGAAUUGAAGCAGAUUGAAAAAUUGAAAAUUUUCUGAUUUCUUGAGCUUUCAAGGUGUGACGAGCUUGUUGAGAGGAAUUUGAUGGUUUAAGCUUUAUCUCAUGGGCGUGUGAAGACGCAGCUAGAUUUAGAGGGGUUAUUGUGUAGGUCAAGGUAACGAGGUACCUUCUUCGAAGUUGAGGCCUUAUUGUUGUCGUAGCGUGGACGUAGAAGUGUACUUUGGUUUUAGUCUUCCACUGUGUAGUGAGUGUGCAUCUGUAGGCAUUCCACUUGCAUUCGAGCGCUAAAGGAUACACCAAUGAGGUCUGCUACAAUAUGCUCCAGGAAACACUCUCCAGGGAGGAAUUAAGCUGGUUCUACGAGCUAUCGGCCGACUUGAUAGGAUCAUUCAAACAAUUGACGGGUACCAUACGUCGACUAGGCUGUUCAAGAUACAUCAGGCAGACAACAAGACCCUCAAGGAAUUUGUCAACAGGUGGCAGGCAGCCACAACAAAAUGCAUUCCGGCAGGGUUGCAAGUUGGGUA